UACGUAGGGUGCGAGCGUUGUCCGGAAUUAUUGGGCGUAAAGGGCUCGUAGGCGGUUUGUCGCGUCGGGAGUGAAAACCUCGGGCUUAACUCGGGGCUUGCUUUCGAUACGGGCAGACUAGAGGUAUGCAGGGGAGAACGGAAUUCCAGGUGUAGCGGUGAAAUGCGUAGAUAUCUGGAGGAACACCGGUGGCGAAGGCGGCGUUCUGGACUGCAACUGACACUGAGGAACGAAAGCCAGGGGAGCAAACGGG
rnacentral:rRNA from 1 species